rnacentral:misc_RNA from 1 species
UGCAGUCUCAGGUCCAGCAUGCUUGGA